rnacentral:rRNA from 1 species
GACGAACGCUGGCGGCGUGCUUAACACAUGCAAGUCGAACGGUGAAGCGCCUUCCUUUUUGGUGGGUGUGGAUGAGUGGCGAACGGGUGAGUAACACGUGAGUAACCUGCCCCCUUCUUCUGGAUAACCGCAUGAAAGUGUGGCUAAUACGGGAUAUUCUGGGUCUGUCGCAUGAUGGGUCUGGGAAAGAUAUUGUUUCGGUGGGGGAUGGGCUCGCGGCCUAUCAGCUUGUUGGUGGGGUGAUGGCCUACCAAGGCGGUGACGGGUAGCCGGCCUGAGAGGGUCGACGGCACCACUGGGACUGAGACACGGCCCAGACUCCGACGGGAGGCAGCAGUGGGGAAUAGUGCACAGUGGGCGCAAGCCUGAUGCAGCGACGCCGCGUGAGGGAUGGAGGCCUGCGGGUUGUGAACCUCUUUCGCCAGUGAAGCAGGCCUGCCUCGUUUGUGGGUGGGUUGACGGUAGCUGGAUAAGAAGCGCCGGCUAACUACGUG